rnacentral:rRNA from 1 species
AUUGAACGAUGGCGGCAGGCUUAACACAUGCAAGUCGAAAGAGUGGCGGACGGGUGAGUAAUGCAUGGGGAUCUAGCUUAUGGAGGGGGAUAACUACGGGAAACGGUAGCUAAUACCGCGUACCAUAGGAUGAGCCCAACGGGGAUUCGGUAGUUGGUGAGGUAAAGGCUCACCAAGGCGAAGAUCUCUAGCUGGUCUGAGAGGAUGACCAGCCACACUGGGACUGAGACACGGCCCAGACUCCUACGGGAGGCAGCAGUGGGGAAUAUUGCGCAAUGGGGGCAACCUGACGCAGCCAUGCCGCGUGAAUGAAGAAGGCCUUCGGGUUGUAAAGUUCUUUCGGUAGCGAGGCGUUAACUACAGAAGAAGCACCGGCUAACUCCGUGCCAGCAGCCGCGGUAAUAC